rnacentral:lncRNA from 1 species
CUAGAUUUUUAACUUUACCCAACUGAAUUUAAAAGGUUAUUAAUUUCUCAGUCAAUUAAUCAAACUUGCUGAUACUUUGCCAACUUCUUAGUGUUUCUAAUGUCCCCAUGCAUUUUUUUUAAAAAUCCAUUUACUUCAUUUUUUAUUUUACUUCUUUUGAUUUCUGUUUUACCAUGAUUUUCCUUAGGUCUUUUUUUUCCCCUUUUCCUGAAGUAGACAUUUAAAAACAUUUACUUGAUACAAAGAAUACACACAGAAACACAGACUAUACAUGUGUGUUAUGAAACAUAAUAUUAAAUGAAUACCCAGUAAUUCAUCUCAGGCCUUUCUAAUGCAGUUCAGUUUACUGUAUAUAAUCCCUUAUUUCCUCCCCAGAGGAAACCACUGGUCUGAAUUUAGUCUUUUUUUUUUUUUCCUUAAAAACACACAUUGAGUUUUUAAAAAUAGGUUUAAUAGAUUUAGAUUUGCUUAUAUUAGCACAUUGUAGAUAAUCUUCUGUGACUUGUUCUUCAUUCAAAACAGUGUCUCUAUAAGAUUGAUCAUUGUUACGUGUAGCAGUAGUUUUUCUACUGUAGCUAUGAAUAUUACAUUCUGCGUAUACUAUAGUGUUAUUUGUCCUCCCAUUAGUAAAUUUUUGUGUUGGUAUUUUUUGCUAUCAAUAAAAGUGCUUACAGGAACACUCUUUAGCAGGUUGACUGAGGCACGUGUUCAAGAGUUUCUCUAGGGCAUAUGCUUUGGAGUAAAGGUGUUUGCUUAUGACUAUGCCUAGGGACCCAUCAGGUGAUCAGAUUCCAUCACCGUUGGCUUAGAUACCUCCAGAUUCCAACAUCUUGUGGUUUACCCUUUUGUUAGUUGGCAUUUUUGGUCUGCUUCUGGUCCAUGAAGAUGUUGAUGGUUUUGUCGCUUGGCUUGGGAUUUCUCUUUUAAUCUUUCCAAUGGGUUUGAAACAAUGGGAUCUAUCACUUGGGAAUUUAUGGCGCCAUCAUGAUAGGAAGUCACCAGCAUUUACUCUUCAAAUGUUGAGUGGUCAGAAUGGAGCCCUUUGGAAUUUUAAGGUUGAAUUCUUCAUAUGAUGAAAAAGCUGGUUUUCACAAAUGGUGGAUUUUGUCUGUAAGAAAUAAAGAGAAGCAGCUUUAUUAUUCUGAGUUUAAUGUAUCACUGUUUGCCAACUGAGAGUGAUUUUUGCUCCCAGGACAUUUGCGCAUGUCUAGAGAUACUUGACAUGAGCAGGAGGGGGUUCAAGAUACUACUUGAAUCUAGUGUCUAAAGGUCAUGGAUGCUACUAAACAUCCUACAGGACAAUGAGCAGGAUAGCCUGCACAACAAAGAAACACUUGGUCUGAUAUAGCAAUGGUGCUGGGGUAAAAAUAAAGCUAAACAUACAGAUGUAUAGGAUGGCCUCCUAUAAAAAAAUUCUUUGUUUUAAUAUGUCAAGGGUGCUUGGGUAAGAAACUCUGAUGUACAUGAAGGCAGUUGGUCAUCGUGCCCUGGAAGUGCCAACCCCAAAAUGGGAUGAAUUCACAACAUUAUUUGCUUUUUCUUCUCAUGCCGCAUCUUUGGAAGUGUGUGUUCGGAAUGCUCCGGUAAUAAAGCUAACAAAUUCCUUGUAUAAAUUCUAUGAGGUGUUCGACUACUGGGAGAUGAGAGAUUAAUGAUCAAGCAGUAACAUGGGCUGAUCUGCUCAGCUAUACAGAAAACAUUUCUAUUGCUGUAAACGGUGGUGGGUGUUCUUCCUGUCCUGGGUCGCUUAAGACUAUGCUCUUCCCAACCACCUCAGCCUUUGGUCAGAAGUGAAAGGGAGGCCUUCUGCUAUGCUCAAGGGACCACAGGGAGGGAUGGCAGUGGUGGGAUUUCACUAAAUUUGAAGAGGGAAAAAGGGGGUCAUACCUCCCACUGCUAGGACUUCCCAAUAAAUGUGAAUGAGUAGGAAGUUCCCAAAUCUGAUUUGCUUCCUUUCUGUUCCAGGUCUCUCCCAGUGCAACUGCUGAAACCUGAGAGUCGGCUCUGGCAGAGGGAGGGAGGGAGGGAGAUGGAGAAGGCAAGGCAGAUACCAGCCCAAUGUAAUCAGCAUUUUAUUACCGUCCUCAGGAAGUAGGAAUGGGGAGGCGGGGGGAAGUAGGCCUGAGCAAGGAAAGUUAAUUAUGUGAGGUUCUUUGACAGGAAAUUACUAAAUACAAACAGAGAGAAGAAACACAUUUUAAAGCAGGGUAGGAAAUCUCAAGUUACCUCUCUGUGUGUAUUCAAAACCCCCAAAGCAAAUUCUGAAAAUAGCAGUUUAAACAAAAGCUAUCUUAUCUGAUAAAAGUAUUUCAAACACAAAGGGAAAUUUAUAUAUUGGGCAGACAAUCUUAAAAUAAACCGAUUUUGCUGAUAGCAUUGCAAAUUUAAUUGUGGGAAAACCCCCUUUAGAUGUCUGAAUUUAUCGUGUAAAUGUUUUGAGUUUAUUUUCAAUCUGGCAUUGCACUUCUAUCAAGGUGUGUCAUCCUGGAAAAUUGUGUGUGUGUGUGAAACGGAAAAGUACCACUGGGUGGUUUUUUUUUGUGAGUAUAUCAGCGCUUUUUUGGCGUGUAUUUGGUAUUAUCAGUAUUUCCAGAAGAGUAUUAUAUCAAUACAGCAUGAAGAACUGAGAAAGUGGUUCUAAAAUAGUUAUUUCCAGAGGUCAUAUAUUUUAAAUGUUCUCAUUAUUCUGUGAUUGAUAGAAUGUCAUUUACUGUUUUCUAACAGUUGGGAAAGUUUGCAGAAUUUUUGUCAAUGAGUCAAACAUUGAUGGUUGUGUUUUUCUUUAAAAGACUAAGUGAUAAAGGAGCAGGACCUUUUCCUACCCUUAAUUACUUCUGGUUCUCGAAGAGCCUACUGCUCUGUAGCCAUUGCUGCAGACUUUGAAAGUGACCAUUGAAUAUUCUGGUCCUUUUAAUUAAGGCUACCAUUCUUCCCUCUCAAACACAUGCACACACACACACACACACACACACACACACAAAUACAACACAGUUUGUUUUCUCUCUCUCCAUGCUGGGAUUCUCUCAGGACAUUUUUUUUUUUUUUUUAAUUGUUGAGAUAUUUAAAAAACCAUGUCAUAGAAAUAGUGUCUGAGCGAACAUAAAAUUGCAGUCUGUGGAUAAAGUUACACAUUCCAAGUUCAAAGAAAAAGCAAUAUUUUGAAAACUUAAAUGGAGCUCGAAGUCUGCAUUCCUUUGAAAAGGCCAACACCUGUGGAAGGAAUGCAGGUUGUUUCCACUUGACCUUCAGCUGCGGAGCUGGGCAAGGUACUUAGGUAUGAUGGUGUCAAGUAUGAGCCACCCUCUGCACAGUCGAGUCUCCCCGGGCAGCACCUGUCCUGUCUGCUGUCAGGGAGGCAAAGGAUGGCAAACAGUCAGGAAGAGUCAGAAUGCCUUCUAAGCCUUGCGUUGAAGAGCCUGCUUUGUAUCCGAUGAAGCCACACGGUGAUGGAUGAGUGGGCGUAGAUAAUGGGAAAUAAGCCAUAACCUCUCUAAACAAUCAGGCUCACAUUUGGCCGGUCCUGGGAACCCCCGGACAGUCAGCAGUAGACACUUAGGCUGAGUCCUCUGUGAGAAGCUGUUGAAGAUUGAGACGUUGUUGAUGUUCCAGACAGAUUCUCAUCGCGCAUACAUAAUUCCCCAGGAUGGAGUUUGCUGCCUUGAGUGGUGCUUCUCUUCUUUGAGGCUGUUUGCACUUGCUCAGCCGUUGAUAGAGGGUGUCUGGGGGACUAGAUGUGCAAUGCAAUGCUGGGAAGAAAGUUAGAUGUAGAACAUUCACCUGGACAAAGGCAUUUGUUAGUCUAACAUUUCUGAUGUGAAUGUGGGGAGCUCUGGCUCACCAGUCAUUGAUGCAUCAAUUCUUCAUUUGUGUGUUCAACAAAUAGGUCUUAAUUGCCUUAUGUAUGCCAGGAACGGUUGUCAAGGCUGGGAAUAUAGUGUUGAGCAGUGGUUGAUGUUGUCUGUGCUUCUUAGAGCUCAGAGUUUACUGGCUUGUGAUCAUGUCUCUUCCUAGAGCCAGCUCUGUGAUCUUGGGUACGUGACAAUUUCUCUCUACCUCAGUGUCUUCAUAUAAAUUAAAUGCUUUUCCCCAGUGAAAUCAUUCAGUGCCAACAUUUUCUCAGUAUACACUUUUGUUAAAAAUUUUUAUCCCCAUGACCUUAGCUUGUUGAUCGACCAAGUAAUUGCGAGAGGUGCUACCGAAUAGAUGAGCUUAGAUGGUUAUAUGCAAACCAGAUCCACUGAUUUUUCCAUGUGAACUAGUUACCUUUCCUGAGUUAAUACCACUUCUGUAUCUUCCAGCUGUUUGAAUGGUUCAUGCCUAGAUGCAGUUUCCUAAAACUCAAGGUUAUUUUAAUUUUAAAGAGAAAACGUGGAUUUCCACAGAUGGUGGUAACAUUUAAUAGUCCUAAAGCAUGGUCUUCAAACACAAAAUCGUUGUCAUAUGUCCUGUGAUGAAACACUAUCCCAGGUCGGUUGGUUGUUUUUAGCUCAAAUUCAGUGCUGCCAGCAGAACUAGGUUUGGGACAGGGUUACAGAACCUUGGAUCUUCUCCUCCCCAAUUUAAUAUUAUUGGUAAUGUCGAUGAACUCAGUCAUAAUGACAUCAGUUGGUUUUGUAAAUAAAGUUUUAAUGGAGUUAGGCCCUGUCCACACAUUGCACAUACUGUUGAUGGCUGCCUUGGGGCUACAAGGUCACAACUGAGUGCUUGAGACAAAGAUAAAACCAAAAAUAUUUACAGUCUGGCCCUUAAUGGAAAAAGUUCGCUUACCCUUGGCUUACAGGAGAGAAUUGUAGAAUUUGAAAGUCUGAAACCCUAGUUUUUAGGAUUGUGCGGGGCCAGUGGACUCUUUUUCAGGAAACGUUGUUUGCCUUUUUUGGAAAAUGCUGGUGAGCAAUGAGCCUUGUUAACGUGUACUCUUGUGACUGCGUGCUGUAGAGACAGCAGAAUUUGAUGACUAUAUACCCCACAAGUUUUAUUCUUUUGGGGGGGAUUUUUAGGUUUUUAUGAGUAACCUUGUCUGCUUUGGAACUGGGGCACCCUAAAUUAGUGCUGAAGCAUUUUAUUCUGGUAAAUAGUUGGUUCUGUGGAGCUCAAGAGCCUAUCUUUUUUUCUUUGAGCUGUGCGGAGAGUUGAGAGAAAGCUUCAGCGGUGUGGGAGCACUGAGACCAGCUUACCAUCUGCCCCAGUCAUUUUCCGUGUUCAUAGCUUAAGGAGCUCUAGGGCUGGUGCAUCUGGCUUACAGGAGUGCUGAAGUCAAAACUGAAGAAAGUUCGGAUUGCUCUAGUUCCUGGCGCUUCAUCCAGGGAGCUAGAGCCAAGGUGGUGAGCUUAAAUGCAAGACCUAUCAUAAAACUACCAAAGCUGAGGACUGGGAGUGUUGGUGUGGCAACUGGACGGUGGGGAGGAAACACCAGAGACUGCUCUUUGAUGUUUUCUCAGGAAUUCAGGUUGGGGUUGUGUAGACACGUCAAUUCCAUUUUUAAGGGGCUUAAAGAUGAGGCAUAUAGCUACUCAGUACAUAUUUACUACAACAAAAAACAUGACGUGAAAUAGAAAAUAGGGUUGGUAGGAUAGAGAGGAGUUGCUGUUGUGAAUUCAAAUUUGCGUUCUAUGACCAGUACUAACAAUUUCUGAGUAAAUACUGGUUGAUUUCAUACACAAACCCCUUGGUAUUGGAAGUGAACCAAAGAAAAAAAAAAUUUUUUUUUUUGACUUGAAGCAUCAUGUUUAUAGCGUUAUUAUGGGAAAUUCUUAGUUUACUUUAUCCACCACUGUUAGGCGACUACUAUAUACUAUGUUUCCUGUCCUCUUGGGGCAUCUAUUCUAUGGGGAAUGACUUGGGAUAACAAAUACUUUCCUAAAAAGGUAAUAAAUGCCCCCAAUGAACCAUGUAAUGGACUGUAAGAAUACGGUGAGGAGGGGUGCCUGUUUAGAAAGGGGGAGGGGAACAGGCCCCUCAGAUGUCCCAGAGGAGAAGAAUGCUUUAUUCUGACCCAUCCCUGGGGCCGGCAGGGGGUGGUACUUUGGUAGAAGGGAGAGUGUAUAAAGCCUGUGUACCUGCCUCUGAGGAUGGGCUUGGGGCAGAAGCUCACACAGGGGUCGGUGGGGACCCCACCCCCACCCCGCAGCCUAACUUCACCCACUUUGGUUUUUCCCUUGCCCUGGUCCUGUCUGAGAUGAGAGACACCUCCAAGGAUCUUGGCUGUGUAAGACCAACUGCAGCCAUCCUAAGACUGAGACAGAUUAAGUCACGUCCCGUUGUGAAACAAACCCCAGAUGCAGAGCAUCCGUGAACCAGACAGACCACCGGGUCAGGGUUGCCUCCCGGGUCUCCGAGAUGGCUUCUGCUCCUGUGCCUGGCAAUUCAUAAGAUUCCUCUUCCCAGGAGAUUUUGUAAUGAAGUGAGAUAAAGGCAGGAAAUCUGUAAUAAAAAACUAACUUCCACGGAUGCCAGAUUAUGGAGACAAAAAAAAAAAAAAAAAAAAAACCCAGCCCACAAAGUGAGGCAGUCUGGUGGGAAGAGAUCAAAGGGCAGCAUGUGACUGGGCUGGCGAGGGGCUCCUUUCCCAGGCCGUCCACAUCCUGCCCCUCAGAGCGGAGACCAGCCUGGGAGGAAGUGGUGAGCAGAGGCCGAGGGAGAGUGGUUCUCAGGGACACGGUCUCCGUUCAAGGGCUCCAGGAGCUGGACUCUGCCGAGUAUGGGGACUAUAGGUGCCCCUCUGCUUGUGUUCACAGACAGGGCUCCAGGAGGCAUGGUUUGCAGUUACCCUUCCCACCACUGUCAAGGUCCCUGGAAUCCGGGAAAGAUGUCAGGCACAGAUAGACCCGGGAGGGGAGAGCCCUGACCGACAGCCAGCUGCGGAUCAAAUAGCCAGAGAGCCCUGGGACUGGCUUGCGGCAGGAAUACCCUAAUCUUGAUUUCACUGUUUUUCCUCUCCCUAAAAGGGUGGGAUGGGGUUGGGAGGUGGGAGGAGAGUCUGCAGUGGGGUUGCUGACACCAUGUAAGGAAAACCUCAGAGCCUGCGAUUCCCGUGUGGAGGGCUCAGCAAAAAGGCCAGCAGAACAAGCCUGCCUCUGUUCAUUCCUCACCAUGGCUUCUGCUGCCCAGUUCUCCAAAGGCAGGCAGGCAGCUGCUGCCAGUCGCUUCUGAUAGAGGCAAGCCGAAUGUUGGUGUAGCUGUGCUCUUGUUACCUGUUAAUGCAAGUGGGCCAGGUGACUGCAGCCCUGACCAGGGGUGUGCAGACCCCUCCCACAGCAGGCUGGCAGCCUUCUGAGUGGCCGUGGAGGAGCCGUGCAUUUCUGCUUCCCCUCUGGUCCUGCCCAGCUUCUGUAGAUAUACUUAGCAAUGACAAUGCUGGUUUGGGAAUUUCCCUAGGAUGGGCCAGGACUUGUUUCCAAAAUAGCACCUUUCAAAGCAAUGCAGAGACUUUUAGAAAUUAGAUAAUUGUGUGAUAUUUAUAAAAUGAAUUACGUUGUGCUAACAAAGUCUGGGCAGCUGUUUUUGAUGCUUAAGUAAAUAACACCUUAUGAUUCAUGAAGGUUGGGGAAGAGGGAAAGACCUUAUAAAAGUUGCUACUUUACAUCUGAGUCUGCGAAAGAUGUAAACUCACCAAGAUGCUAUAACACAGUUUGAAGGUGAAAUGUUUAUGUCUGGGCGCGCAUGGCGUGGUUCUGCCGUUGUUUCAUUCGUCAGACACUUACUGAGCAUUUAAACUAUGCUUGCCCAUGUAUGCAGAGAGACACAGAGAAAUGCUUUAUUGCUCUUGUCCUCCAUGAAUUCUCACUCUAGGGAGGGGGGCAGAUGUAUAAACAGAUAAUUGCAAUACAGUGAGCUAAGUGCUAACAGAAGGAUAAAAGGAAGGCUAUAAUGGUAUGAGGAGUAUAUCCAUUUACAGUGAAAAUGGAGAGGAGGGAACAGUGUCACAGAGGAAGUGAUAUUUGAGCAGGAUGCGAUGAAAGAGGAGGCAUUUUGAAAGCAGUUGCCUUCUUUUGGCUUCUCCUAUUCUUGAGCCAACUCUUGACCCCAGGGCUUUUGCACAGUCAUUUCCCUCUGCCUGGAAAGCUCCUCCCAUUCCUCUUCCCUGGUUCAGUCCUUUAGAUCCGGGGUCCCCCAUUACUUCCUUAGGCAAGUCUGACUUCUCUAAGUCACAUCCUUUCCAAGAGAAGAGCUCAGUCAUCAAGUACCUUUUCUUCAGAGCAGUCGUCACAGCUCUGCUUUGAUGUAAUUGGCGUGAUUAUUUGAAUGAUAUCUUUCUCCCACUCCACAAAGACUGUCGUUUUGUUCAGCUUUGCUUCUUGACUAAAUAUUUGUUGAAUGAAUUAGAUGAAGGGCAUUCCAGGUGUGAGAAAAUAUUUUAUGUUCAGCCAACGGUAAGUGGCUGAGUUUGUUGGAUCUUGGGUGUGUGAAUUGGGGGAGGCAGAAAGUUAAGCCAUUUAAGGACCUUUGAAGAUCUUAGCUUCUGUUUUAUGUACUAGCUCAGUUAAUAUUUUAAAAUAGCAAGACAUUUCUAAGAUCUUCCUCUCAAUUAUAAUAGUAUCAUUAGAUGGUUAAAUUUGUAGAUGAAUGCUAAAAUACUUAAAAAUUUUUUGUUUGUGGUUUUAGAGCUUAAAUAGAUAUAAUUUAAAAAUUGUGAUUAAAAUAUAACUUAUAUACAGGAAAACAUACAGUAUAUAAACAUACCUGGCCCAAAGUGAAAAUGUGUUUACCGCCCACCCAAGUCAGGAAAUAGGUCUGGGGGCUCCCAUUGUGGCUUAGUAUAAGUUAACGAACCCGACUAGUAUCCAUGAGGAUGUGGGUUCAAUCCCUGGCCUUGCUCAGUGGGUUAAGGAUCCGGUGUUUCCAUGAGCUGUGGUGUAGGUCACAGACUCAGGUCAGAUCUGGUGUUGGUGUGGCUGUGGUGUAGGCUGGCGGCUACAGCUCCAAUUAGACCCCUAGCCUGGGAACCUCCAUGUGCCGCAGGUGUAGCCCUAAAAAGACAAAAGACCACAAAAAAAAAAAAAAAAAAAA